AACGAACGCUGGCGGCAGGCCUAACGCAUGCAAGUCGAGCGAGAAGGUACCUUCGGGUACUGGACAGCGGCGGACGGGUGAGUAACGCGUGGGAAUAUACCUUUUGGUGGGGGACAACAGUUGGAAACGACUGCUAAUACCGCAUACGCCCUUCGGGGGAAAGAUUUAUCGCCGAGAGAUUAGCCCGCGUUAGAUUAGGUAGUUGGUGAGGUAACGGCUCACCAAGCCGACGAUCUAUAGCUGGUCUGAGAGGAUGAUCAGCCACACUGGGACUGAGACACGGCCCAG
rnacentral:rRNA from 1 species